AUUGGCUGGCCAAAACGUUUGUUCAGGAUUUUCCAUAUGAUGUUAUGGAAAAACCAGAACGAACUUUUUGGCCAACCCAUUAC
rnacentral:miRNA from 1 species